rnacentral:rRNA from 1 species
CGGUUGGUGAACCAGCGGAGGGAUCAUUACCGAGUUUACAACUCCCAAACCCCUGUGAACAUACCUAUUUGUUGCCUCGGCGGUGCCUGUUCCGACAGCCCGCCAGAGGACCCCAAACCCUGAUUACAUUUAAGAAGUCUUCUGAGUAAACCGAUUAAAUAAAUCAAAACUUUCAACAACGGAUCUCUUGGUUCUGGCAUCGAUGAAGAACGCAGCGAAAUGCGAUAAGUAAUGUGAAUUGCAGAAUUCAGUGAAUCAUCGAAUCUUUGAACGCACAUUGCGCCCGCUAGUAUUCUGGCGGGCAUGCCUGUCCGAGCGUCAUUUCAACCCUCAAGCCCCCGGGCUUGGUGUUGGGGAUCGGCGAGCCUCCGCGCCCGCCGUCCCCUAAAUCUAGUGGCGGUCUCGCUGUAGCUUCCUCUGCGUAGUAGCACACCUCGCACUGGGAAACAGCGCGGCCACGCCGUUAAACCCCCAACUUCUGAACGUUUGACCUCGGAUCAGGUAGGA